GCCUGAGUGGCUCAGUCGGUGGAGCAUCUGACUUUGGUAAGGUCAUGAUCUUGUGGUUCGUGGGUUUGAGCCCCAUGUUGGGCU
rnacentral:tRNA from 1 species